rnacentral:rRNA from 1 species
CAGCAGCCGCGGUAAUACGGAGGGUGCAAGCGUUAAUCGGAAUUACUGGGCGUAAAGCGCACGCAGGCGGUCUGACAAGUCAGAUGUGAAAUCCCCGGGCUUAACCUGGGAACUGCAUUUGAAACUGUCAGGCUGGAGUCUUGUAGAAGGGGGUGGAAUUCCAGGUGUAGCGGUGAAAUGCGUAGAGAUCUGGAGGAAUACCGGUGGCGAAGGCGGCCCCCUGGACAAAGACUGACGCUCAGGUGCGAAAGCGUGGGGAGCAAACAGGAUUAGAUACCCCUGUAGUCCCUGUCUCUUAUAC